UACGUAGGGUGCGAGCGUUGUCCGGAAUUAUUGGGCGUAAAGAGCUCGUAGGCGGUGUGUCACGUCGGCCGUGAAAACCUGCAGCUUAACUGUGGGCGUGCGGUCGAUACGGGCAUCACUGGAGUUCGGCAGGGGGGACUGGAAUUCCUGGUGUAGCGGUGAAAUGCGCAGAUAUCAGGAGGAACACCGGUGGCGAAGGCGGGUCUCUGGGCCGAUACUGACGCUGAGGCGCGAAAGCCAGGGGAGCAAACGGG
rnacentral:rRNA from 1 species